rnacentral:rRNA from 1 species
AACGAACGCUGGCGGCAGGCUUAACACAUGCAAGUCGAACGGUUGUAGCAAUACAGCAGUGGCGCACGGGUGAGUAACGCGUGGAUAUCUGCCUUUUGGUUCGGAAUAACUCCGGGAAACUGGAGCUAAUACCGGAUGGUUCCUACGGGAUAAAGAUUUAUCGCCAAAAGAUGAGUCCGCGUACGAUUAGCUAGUUGGUGGGGUAAUGGCCCACCAAGGCGACGAUCGUUAGCUGGUCUGAGAGGACGAUCAGCCACACUGGGACUGAGACACGGCCCAGACUCCUACGGGAGGCAGCAGUGGGGAAUAUUGGACAAUGGGGGCAACCCUGAUCCAGCCAUGCCGCGUGAGUGAUGAAGGCCUUCGGGUUGUAAAGCUCUUUUGGCGGGGACGAUGAUGACGGUACCCGCAGAAUAAGCCCCGGCUAACUUCGUGCCAGCCGCCGCGGUAAGAC